AAUCAACGCUGGCGGCGUGCCUCAGACAUGCAAGUCGGACGAUUAAAGCUCUCUUCGGAGAGUGUAUAGAGUGGCGCACGGGUGAGUAACACGUAAGUAAUCUACCUUUGAGUGGGGAAUAACGUUCGGAACGAACGCUAAUACCGCAUAAUGCAGCGGCACCGCAAGGUGACAGUUGUUAAAGGAGCAAUUCGCUUGAAGAGGAGCUUGCGGCAGAUAGCUUGUUGGUAAGGUAACGGCUUACCAAGGCUACGAUCUGUAACCGGUCUUAGAGGACGGUCGGUCACACUGACACUGAAUAACGGGUCAGAC
rnacentral:rRNA from 1 species